ACGGGAGGCAGCAGUGGGGAAUAUUGGUCAAUGGGCGGAAGCCUGAACCAGCCAAGUCGCGUGAAGGAUGAAGGUAUUAUGUAUUGUAAACUUCUUUAGCUGUGGAGCAAUAAUCUCCAUGUAUGGAGAGAUGAGAGUACACAGAGAAUAAGGAUCGGCUAACUCCGUGCCAGCAGCCGCGGUAAUACGGAGGAUCCGCGCGUUAUCCGGAUUUAUUGGGUUUAAAGGGUGCGCAGGCGGCUUUCUAAGUCAGUGGUAAAAUCGUGGUGCUCAACGCCAUCCCGCCAUUGAUACUGGAGAGCUUGAUCGCGGUCGAGGUUUGCGGAAUUCGUCGUGUAGCGGUGAAAUGCAUAGAUAUGACGAAGAACACCGAUUGCGUAGGCAGAAGACCAGGCCGUAAAUGACGCUCAUGCACGAAAGUGCGGGGAUCGAACAGGAUUAGAUACCCUGGUA
rnacentral:rRNA from 1 species